CAGCACCUCAAGUGUUCAGGAUGAUUAUUGGGCCUAAAGCAUCCGUAGCCGGCGCUGUAAGUUUUCGGUUAAAUCUGUACGCUCAACGUACAGGCUGCCGGGAAUACUGCAGCGCUAGGGAGUGGGAGAGGUAGACGGUACUCGGUAGGAAGGGGUAAAAUCCUUUGAUCUAUUGAUGACCACCUGUGGCGAAGGCGGUCUACCAGAACACGUCCGACGGUGAGGGAUGAAAGCUGGGGGAGCAAAACGGAUUAGAUACCCGAGUAGUC
rnacentral:rRNA from 1 species